CCUACGGGAGGCUGCAGUGGGGAAUAUUGGACAAUGGGGGCAACCCUGAUCCAGCCAUGCCGCGUGUGUGAAGAAGGCCCUCGGGUUGUAAAGCACUUUCAGUGAGGAAGAACGCCUGGUGGUUAAUACCCAUCAGGAAAGACAUCACUCACAGAAGAAGCACCGGCUAACUCCGUGCCAGCAGCCGCGGUAAUACGGAGGGUGCGAGCGUUAAUCGGAAUUACUGGGCGUAAAGCGCGCGUAGGUGGCUUGAUAAGCCGGUUGUGAAAGCCCCGGGCUCAACCUGGGAACGGCAUCCGGAACUGUCAAGCUAGAGUGCAGGAGAGGAAGGUAGAAUUCCCGGUGUAGCGGUGAAAUGCGUAGAGAUCGGGAGGAAUACCAGUGGCGAAGGCGGCCUUCUGGACUGACACUGACACUGAGGUGCGAAAGCGUGGGUAGCAAACAGGAUUAGAUAUCCGUGUAGUC
rnacentral:rRNA from 1 species